AUGGCCAUGGCCAUGUAUCUUAUCGUUUCUAGGAACAACCAUCCACACAGUCCCAGCUCAACGGAGCCUUCCAGGAAGUUCUUCAUUGGGGGCAACUGAAAGAUGAAUGAGAGGAAGAAGUGCCUGGGAGAACUCAUUUGUAUCCUGAACCUUGCUAAGGUGCCCGCAGACACCGAGGUGGUUUAUGCACCGCCCCCCACCACACACACCACCUGCAUGGACUUUGCCAGGCAGAAGCUAGAUCCCAAGGUUGCUGUGGCUGCGCAGAACUGCUACAAAGUGACCAAUGGGGCCUUCACUGGGGAGAUCAGCCCUGGUAUGAUCAAAGACUUAGGAGCCACAUGGGUAGUGCUGGGGCACUGGGAGAGAAGGCACGUCUUGUCUUUGGGGAGUCGGAUGAGCUGACUGGGCAGAAAGUAGCCCAUGCCCUAGCUGAGGGGCUCGGAGUGAUUGGCUGCAUUGGGGAGAAGUUAAAUGAAAGGGAAGCUGGCAUCACCGAGAAGGUUGUUUUCGAUCAAAUCAAUGUCAUCACAGACAAUGUGAAGGACUGGAGCAAAGUGGUCCUGGCCUAUGAACCUGUAUGGGUCAUUGGUACGGGCAAGACUGCAACCCCUCAACAGACCCAGGAAGUGCAUGAGAGGCUUCGGGGAUGGCUGAAAUCCAAUGUCUCUGAUGCGGUGGCUCAGAGCACCGGAAUCAUUUAUGGAGGUUCUGUGACCGGAGCAACCUGCAAAGAGCUGGCAAGCCAGCCUGACGGCUUCCUCGUGGGUGGGGUUUCCCUCAAGCCUGAAUUUGUGGACAUCAUCAAUGGCAAACAAUAA